rnacentral:rRNA from 1 species
AACGAACGCUGGCGGCAUGCCUAACACAUGCAAGUCGAACGGGUACCUUCGGGUGCUAGUGGCGCACGGGUGCGUAACGCGUGGGAAUCUGCCCUUGGGUUCGGAAUAACUCAGCGAAAGCUGUGCUAAUACCGGAUGAUGUCGAAAGACCAAAGAUUUAUCGCCCGAGGAUGAGCCCGCGUUGGAUUAUCUAGUUGUUGGGGUAAAGGCCUACCAAGGCGACGAUCCAUAGCUGGUCUGAGAGGAUGAUCAGCCACACUGGGACUGAGACACGGCCCAGACUCCUACGGGAGGCAGCAGUGGGGAAUAGUGGACAAUGGGCGAAAGCCUGAUCCAGCAAUGACGCGUGAGUGAUGAAGGCCUUAGGGUUGUAAAGCUCUUUUACCCGGGAUGAUAAUGACAGUACCGGGAGAAUAAGCUCCGGCUAACUCCGUG